UACAGAGGGGGCAAGCGUUGUUCGGAAUUACUGGGCGUAAAGGGCGCGUAGGCGGCCUUCUAAGUCGAACGUGAAAUCCCCGGGCUCAACCCGGGAACUGCGUCCGAUACUGGAAGGCUUGAAUCCGGGAGAGGGAUGCGGAAUUCCAGGUGUAGCGGUGAAAUGCGUAGAUAUCUGGAGGAACACCGGUGGCGAAGGCGGCAUCCUGGACCAUUACUGACGCUGAAUCGCGAAAGCUAGGGGAGCAAACGGG
rnacentral:rRNA from 1 species